rnacentral:rRNA from 1 species
GACGAACGCUGGCGGCGUGCCUAAUACAUGCAAGUCGAACGAACCGCGACUAGGUGCUUGCACUUGGUCAAGGUGAGUGGCGAACGGGUGAGUAACACGUGGGUAACCUACCUCAUAGUGGGGGAUAACAGUCGGAAACGACUGCUAAUACCGCAUAGGACAUAGGAUCACAUGAUCCAGUGAGGAAAGGUGGCGCAAGCUAUCGCUAAGAGAUGGACCCGCGGUGCAUUAGCUAGUUGGUAGGGUAAAGGCCUACCAAGGCGAUGAUGCAUAGCCGACCUGAGAGGGUGAUCGGCCACAUUGGGACUGAGACACGGCCCAAACUCCUACGGGAGGCAGCAGUAGGGAAUCUUCCGCAAUGGACGCAAGUCUGACGGAGCAACGCCGCGUGAGUGAAGAAGGUCCUCGGAUCGUAAAGCUCUGUUGUUAGAGAAGAACAGCGCAUAGAGUAACUGUUAUGCGUGUGACGGUAUCUAACCAGAAAGCCACGGCUAACUACGUG